AACCAAAACAUGAAGAGCAGACUGAGGCUCAAGAUACAGCUGUCGACAACCUUCUGGAGGAUGUGAAUGAAGCCACAGAGCCAGAUGAAAUAUCAGAAGAUGUUGAUAUUGGUAAAGACCUGUCAGUAGAAAGUGAGCAUACAGAAGAUCUUGUGACCACUGAACCAGAGGAAUCAGAAGUUCCUGUUAAAGCUGAGGAUUAUUCAAAUGACAAUCUAGUGGAUACUUAAAGCUUCAAAAAGAAAAGUCCCUACAUCAGGAGGACCAGCCCUAACCAUACGCUACAAAAGGGGAGCAGAUGGUUGUAAUAGAUCUUAUGACGUAAUUACCGAGCAGUUCAGGGUUUGGGGAAUGAACACUAAGAUACUGUAAAUGGGUUUUAGCCAACUGUCAUUUUAGUAAGUUUUUUUUAACACUUGGAUGUUUAAUUUACAUUCCUGUCUGAUUUCUCCCCUCUGCCCCCUUGGUCAAGUUUAGUGAAUUCAUUAUUUUUCUUCUGUGUUUGUAAUGGAGUUGCAACUUUGAGCUACAUUUCAGAUGUGCUGUUCAAGCAAUUGUUAAUAUUCUAUUUAUAACGCGACAGCAAGUACAUUUUUUCAGAUUUUAGUAUAUAUCUUUUGUUGUGGAUUCAUACAGUAUGUACAGAGCAGUUUGGUCCCAUGAAACACAUAUUAUGAAUUUUUAGAUGUUUUAUAACUGCUGAUAUAGCAUACAGCCUGACUGCAUUUUAUUGAAAACACUAAUCAGGCGCCCACUAUGCUGUGAAAUUUGACUUGUAUCUCUUUGCACUGAUGUUAUGUCAACAGUUACACUACAUGAAUUUCAGGUAUUUUUAAAAUAGUCUAACAAGGUACAAAAAUGUGUAUGUUUAAUUCAUGCUAGUAAAAAGGCAGUUUACUAGAUUACUUUUUUCAGAAAACUUUUGUGUGUGAAUUCAAACUUUUUAUUUAUUCACAUCUGAUUUUUAAAGCAAAAAUAUCUAGAAACUAUGUAAUAGCUUGGCAGGGAGUCAGUGUACAUUGCAGUGAAACUGAGUUGCUGGAAUCAGGUUGAGUUCAGUAAAAUAAUAAAAAUAAUAAGAAAUAAUGCUGAAUUUAGUAAGCUGUAUAUUCAGUGAAUUAAUUUAAGUCGAAUUUGCUUAAAUACUUGACUUGAAAAUUUUAUUUAAAAAAAUUGGAAAUUCAACCAUAAGAAAAUAGGAUAUCUAAAUUUAAGACCUAAAAUCAUAAAUGCUCUUGUAAAUAAUCUGUCUGAAAUUUAGACUUCAAGUGAUUUAGAAUUUUAAUAUAACAGGUGUACUUUUUACCUGUUCUGUGCUGCUGUUCCACAAUUACGAAGACUUUUUUUUUUGUUGCCAUUUUGCAUGUGUUUCUUUUUGGCUCAGGAAUGAUUGCUAUGAUUUUAGAAAAUUGCUAAGCCUGAAAUGGGAGGUUAGAAGAAAUAAGAUAAAUUUUGAAGGAAAAAAAAAUCAAUUUAGUAACCCUAACAGUGGUUGCCUUUUGAUUGACAGGGAAAUUUUAAAUUUCUGUAGCACUGUUUUGAAGUCAGGUUUUUAGUUGCUUACAUUUACAGUGAAAGGGGCAUCAUAUAUGCUUGCCUUUUUUUGUUUGGGAUUUCAGGAAGACUUCACUUAAGUGAGUGGUACAUCUGAUCAACAAACACAGAUGUCCCAAAGUGAUUUCUUUAGACCUGUCAGGAAAGCAAUAAUACUCUUAGACUGUGAUGUGGUUUGGGGUGGGAUAUUCUAGUAAAAUCACCUGUGAUUGUGAAUUGCAGAGCAAUAAUUUUUACAAAGCCAUAUUUUGUGAGGAAGCUUGGGAAUAAUUUUAGAAUGGUGGAUGGAGGACUUUUUGUAUUACAGUGGCAGCCUAUUUGUAGAAUUAUGGGACUGUGAGAAUAUAUUAUGCUGUGAUCAACUUUUAAGUAUUUUGUAACUGGGUAUGUGAUUUUACGUGCUUCAUGUUUACAAAAAUAUGCCAAGCUGAGCAAGGUCAAGUGGACUAUUAAAAAAUGUAUAUUUAAUCUGUUUUAAUGUUUGGCUGCAAUAAAACACAGAAGAAUAUA
ensembl:lncRNA